GCUUGCUUGGGUACUCGAGUGGCGAACGGGUGAGUAACACGUGGGUGAUCUGCCCUGCACUUCGGGAUAAGCCUGGGAAACUGGGUCUAAUACCGGAUAGGACGAUGGUUUGGAUGCCAUUGUGGAAAGUUUUUUCGGUGUGGGAUGAGCUCGCGGCCUAUCAGCUUGUUGGUGGGGUAAUGGCCUACCAAGGCGUCGACGGGUAGCCGGCCUGAGAGGGUGUACGGCCACAUUGGGACUGAGAUACGGCCCAGACUCCUACGGGAGGCAGCAGUGGGGAAUAUUGCACAAUGGGCGCAAGCCUGAUGCAGCGACGCCGCGUGGGGGAUGACGGCCUUCGGGUUGUAAACUCCUUUCGCUAGGGACGAAGCGUUUUUGUGACGGUACCUGGAGAAGAAGCACCGGCUAACUACGUGCCAGCAGCCGCGGUAAUACGUAGGGUGCGAGCGUUGUCCGGAAUUACUGGGCGUAAAGAGCUCGUAGGUGGUUUGUCGCGUCGUUUGUGUAAGCCCGCAGCUUAACUGCGGGACUGCA
rnacentral:rRNA from 1 species